GAUGAACGCUAGCUCACUGGCUUAACACAUGCAAGUCGAGGGGCAUCAGGAAGAAAGCUUGCUUUCUUUGCUGGCGACCGGCGCACGGGUGAGUAACACGUAUCCAACCUGCCCUUUACUCGGGGAUAGCCUUUCGAAAGAAAGAUUAAUACCCGAUAGCAUAAUGAUUCCGCAUGGUUUCAUUAUUAAAGGAUUCCGGUAAAGGAUGGGGAUGCGUUCCAUUAGGUUGUUGGUGAGGUAACGGCUCACCAAGCCUUCGAUGGAUAGGGGUUCUGAGAGGAAGGUCCCCCACAUUGGAACUGAGACACGGUCCAAACUCCUACGGGAGGCAGCAGUGAGGAAUAUUGGUCAAUGGGCGCUAGCCUGAACCAGCCAAGUAGCGUGAAGGAUGAAGGCUCUAUGGGUCGUAAACUUCUUUUAUGUAAGAAUAAAGUGCAGUAUGUAUACUGUUUUGUAUGUAUUAUAUGAAUAAGGAUCGGCUAACUCCGUGCCAGCAGCCGCGGUAAUACGGAGGAUCCGAGCGUUAUCCGGAUUUAUUGGGUUUAAAGGGAGCGUAGGUGGACUGGUAAGUCAGUUGUGAAAGUUUGCGGCUCAACCGUAAAAUUGCAGUUGAUACUGUCAGUCUUGAGUACAGUAGAGGUGGGCGGAAUUCGUGGUGUAGCGGUGAAAUGCUUAGAUAUCACGAAGAACUCCGAUUGCGAAGGCAGCUCACUGGACUGCAACUGACACUGAUGCUCGAAAGUGUGGGUAUCANACAGG
rnacentral:rRNA from 1 species